ensembl:miRNA MIR212 microRNA 212
GGGGCAGCCCGCCCGGACAGCGCGCCGGCACCUUGGCUGUAGACUGCUUACUGCCUGGGCCGCCCUCAGUAACAGUCUCCAGUCACG